CUAAGGAGCAUCUGGCACUGUCGGGUUUUCCUGGUGGUGUCCAGGCGCCGGAUCGAGACCGAAUGUGUCUUGCCGGUUAGCUCAUGGGUGGAACAUUUGAUGGGGCUCCGUUUGGUCGGGGUUUCUGCUGAGUACGUCGCUUCGGUGAUGGGAAAGGUGGGGGCUUCGGUGGGUGGGGCAUGCACGCUGUUGGGUCCUGAGGGGCCGGGCGCUGAUCGGGUUUUUGGAUCUGGUUGGUGGCUGUUCCUCGAGGGCCUUCUCCUGCGCCGGUGUUCCGGUGGUGGGGGUGGGUACCGCCCGUACUUUGAGAACUACACAGUGGACGCGAGCAUCUUCCAUGCAACUCUUCGGGGUUGUGUGGUGUAGAUGAUCUUAAAGAUCAUUAGUCAAUUUUUUGACGAUUCAACUCAUGUGAU
rnacentral:misc_RNA from 1 species